rnacentral:rRNA from 1 species
AAUCACAGUCAUAUCACCCUGCAGCCCAAGACCAGUUACUCACUGAAGCUAAGCAGGGCUGAGCCUGGUCAGUACCUGGAUAGGAGACCACAUGGGAAAACUAGGUUGCUGUUGGAA